rnacentral:RNase_P_RNA from 1 species
CACCAGUGCCGGAUGGUCGCCCUCCGCCGUUGGCGGGGGGAGGAAAGUCCGAGCUCCGUAGGGCAGCGUACCCCGAUAACCUCGGGGCCUCUGGGCCGAAAGGCCUGGGGCGGAUUAGAGCCACAGAGACGAGUAAUCCCUCCGCAAGGUGGGAUGACGUGAAACGCGGCAAUCUCUACGCGGAGCAAGGCCAAACAGCCCAGUGCCGCAUCCUCCAGGGUGCGGCGGCGGGUUGCCCGCCCGCAAUGGGAAGGUAGGCCGCAGGAGCCCCGCCGCAAGGUGGGGACAAGAUGGAUGACCAUCCCCCGCAAGGGGACAGAACUCGGCUUAUAGGUACCGGUGGUUG